AUUAUACUCCCCCCGUCCCAAAAUUCUUGUCUUAGAUUCGUCUAGAUACGGAUGUAUCUAAUACUAAAGUGUGACUUGAUACAUCCGUAUUUAGACAAAUCUAAGACAAGAAUUUUGGGACGGAGGGAGUACAUC
rnacentral:pre_miRNA from 1 species